rnacentral:lncRNA from 1 species
GGAAAUAACACCAGUCAGGAAGCCAUGCACCGUGCCAUCUGCCACCUCAUUAAGAGCAUCUUGCUUUUUCAAGACAUUUUCAAACCCGUGCUGCAUAGACAACACUAGGAGAAGCCACUAUGAAUGAGUGACAGGUCCCAAGAGCACAACAGGAAGCCCAAGGCGGCUCAGCAAAUGUCACUGGACAUGCGGCAGGGAAGAACAUUACCAAGAUGGGAACGCUGGUAGACAGCUCUACAUUUAUAUGGAGGAGGUCUCCCAAAGUGAGGCCACCAUGGAACCCAGACAGAAAUCAAACAUUAUUUAUUACACAUUCUUCCAAGAAUUUUUACUACAAAAUAAUACUGAAAAAAAUGUGCUUAGUAAUAAACAGAAUUCAUUCCCAACCAUGAAGUCCAGUACAGUGGACUGGACCCAAAGAGCUGCAACUGGGAACGUGUGCGGACCACUUCCAGGGAAAAUGGUGGCUUGAACUCUCGUUUCCGGCCAGGCCCUAAGCAAUCCCAUGGGCUUAGAAUGAAGUUUAAAAACUGAAAGCAGCAAGACCAAGACAGCAAAGUUUAAAACUUGGGCAGGAACACUAUAACACCACUCAAGUCUGCACUCCGGAACAACAGGUGCCCUAAUCAAUAUUGCAGACUCAGCCAGGAAUUUGCCAGAAAGGCAAGACUGCAGAGUACACUCUGCCGUACUCACUGUGCAUAUUUUUAUUAACACCUAAAACUGAAAAUCUUACAAAGAAUGUUAGCAAUGGAUGUGAAAUGGUGAAACUGGUGGCUUGUUGAUGUGAAGAAAUGAGCUUCCAUGAGUAACACUGAAAACAGUGAAGAACGUGUAAAGAAGUGAAAAUGUUUUAGAGGUACUCUAUGAUCCAGUGUGAAUGGAAUACGUGGACUCAGAAAGGCGUUCCCUCCGGAGACAGCCUGAAUUUGGUAUCCAUCCACUGGGUUAUGAAGACAUAGCACUGCCUGGUGGCUAACACAAGAGCAAAGAGCUCUGCCUGCGGGGUGCCCCCUUGUCUGUCUUGCCAAAGAAUAAGCUGUAUAAAUCAUGUUUUUCUUCCCUUGCUAAUGUGUUUAAUAAAUGCCUCUGUGUUUAGCA